rnacentral:ncRNA from 1 species
GUCCUAUAUAGAUGUAAUCAACGCAAGCCAGUUGAGCAUCUCCCUGUAGGACGAAGUUUAUUAGAAGCCCUGACAACAAUUCUUAUUGUGUGGCUGUGGCUGUAGCUACGGUCGAAAUGAGAUGAGUUAGGGUGGAGUAGGUUAACCGUAAGACCUUGGGUUGAAAAAUUCUAAAAUGGAGCUAGAGAUAUGGAUUUCUUAAAUUUUGUAUUUUCUGGUUACGGUCGG